CUUUUUUCUUCUUUUGUCGAACACCUCCACUUGUCAAACCUGGAAUCUUUGAUCCUUGAUAAUGAGACAGAAAUUCCGGCCAAUAAAAUUCCUGAGAUCGGGUGUCUUAACUGGGACCUGUAUAUUCCUCGAGAGUAGUUACGUUGUGUGUUGACUAACUAGAGAGUAAAAGAGAGUGAAAAUGGAGUUGAAAGUUGCAUUGCCUUUCGUGGGGAUGGUAAUGGCAGAGUGUGCCCAAGUUGGGCUUAUAGUAGUAAGCAAAGCGGCCAUGUCUAAAGGCAUGAGCAGUUUCAUCUUUGUCUGUUACUCUAAUGCCCUCGCCUCUCUCAUCCUUCUCCCUUCUUCUUUGCUUUUGCACAGAUCACAGAGGCCUCCUCUUACCUUCUCAAUUAUCUGUGGAUUCUUCUUGCUUGGUCUAUUUGGUUGCUUGGCACAGUUUUUUGGGUAUGCUGGGAUUAACCUCAGUUCUCCUACGCUUGGCACAGCCAUGCUCAAUCUCGUCCCUGGUUUUACCUUCAUGCUUGCUGUUGCAUUAAGGAUGGAAAAAGUUGACUGGAGAACCUCUAGAACUCUAGCUAAAGCCAUGGGAACCAUAGUAUCAAUUGGAGGGGCAUUCAUUUUAACUUACUACAGAGGUCCACCGGUUUUGAUGACACUCUCUUCUUUGAACGCCUCUCCUCAACGUUUCAUGCAAUUGUCAAAUUGGGUUAUUGGAGGAUCGCUACUUGCAGUUGAUUGUGUUAUGGCUUCUGCAUGGAUCAUCAUACAGGCAUUGAUACUCAAGAAAUACCCAGCAGAGCUGAUUGUUGUCUUUUUCUACUGCUUCUUUGUGACGAUUCUGUCUGCAAUAGUUUGUGUGGUUGUAGAAAGAGACCCUUUUGCUUGGAGCUUAAAACCUAAUAUAAGAUUGGCUGCUGUUUUGUACUCGGGAGUUUUUGGGUCGGCAUUCCAAGUUGGCAUUACUACAUGGUGCCUGCGGCAGACAGGCCCUGUUUUUGUUUCUAUGUUCAAGCCCCUGGGCAUUGUCAUUGCGGCUGUUGCAGGUGUCAUCUUCUUAGGGGAUACCUUGUACCUUGGGAGUUGGAGCAAUUGUGAUAGUCACCGGGUUCUAUUUGGUGAUGUGGGGAAAAGCCAAAGAAUGGGAGAUGGGUGUGGAUGCUGUAGUGAGGAGCUUUGAGUCAAGCAGCCAAAAAGUCCCUCUUCUGCAAAGCUCUAUUGAAGAAAAUAGAAGUGUUUUGCAAUGACAAAAAAAAAAAAAAUUCCUUUUGCCAAACCAAAUAGAUGAACUUAAUACGUCUUCAACUUUUGAAUAAGCUCUUCCUCAUAUGUUUUACCCAGAAAGGAGGAAGAAGUCCGCAAAGAAUAUAUAAGGUACUUUGUUUGUCUGUAAUAGAACUAGAUAUGGAAGGCACGUUCAGAGAUCCAAGCAUGUGAGAAAGGCAACUGCAAUGGCUGUGGGCUCAAUAACAUUGGCUUUGAUUGAAAGGAAGUCUUUGUGCCUGAAAGCAGCUUAGAAAUUGGUUGGUAAUAAAGUGAGAACUCGACAGUUAGGCUAGGGUCAACUUACUGUCUAAAGAUGAUAUUGAAAAUUUCUACAUUUUCAACUUAUUUUUAAUUAAAACACUGUCUCAUGACUAGAUCACCGUCAUGACCAGCAGCAUUGACAUUCAAUUUGAUAUAGAACAUAGAGUUUGCACGCGUGA